rnacentral:rRNA from 1 species
AGUGAACGCUGGCGGUAGGCCUAACACAUGCAAGUCGAACGGCAGCACAGUAAGAGCUUGCUCUUACGGGUGGCGAGUGGCGGACGGGUGAGGAAUACAUCGGAAUCUACUUUUUCGUGGGGGAUAACGUAUGGAAACUUACGCUAAUACCGCAUACGACCUACGGGUGAAAGCAGGGGAUCUUCGGACCUUGCGCGACUGAAUGAGCCGAUGUCGGAUUAGCUAGUUGGCGGGGUAAAGGCCCACCAAGGCGACGAUCCGUAGCUGGUCUGAGAGGAUGAUCAGCCACACUGGAACUGAGACACGGUCCAGACUCCUACGGGAGGCAGCAGUGGGGAAUAUUGGACAAUGGGCGCAAGCCUGAUCCAGCCAUACCGCGUGGGUGAAGAAGGCCUUCGGGUUGUAAAGCCCUUUUGUUGGGAAAGAAAAGCAGCAGGUUAAUACCCCGCUGUUCUGACGGUACCCAAAGAAUAAGCACCGGCUAACUUCGUG